rnacentral:rRNA from 1 species
UUUGCUACUUAUGCUAUCUGGGGGAUGGCUUGGCUUGAGUUGCCUAUGAAGGUCGUGGUAAGCUGCGAUAAGCUUGGGCGAGGAGCAUACAUCUUUGGAACCCAAGAUUGCCUAAUGGGACUUCCUAGCACAUUUUUUUUGUGUUGAUCCGUGUAGGAUUGGGAACCCGCCGAAUUGAAACAUCUUAGUAGGCGGAGGAAAAGAAAGCAAUAUGCGAUGUCGUUAGUAACGGCGAGCGAAAUCGACUUAGAACAAACUGAAUCCCUUUUAGUAAUAUUAGGGAGAUGUGGUGUAUAGACAUACUUUUAGGCCUCGGGGGAUAAAUUGAAUUUUUAUUUGGAAUUUUAGAACCGUAGAGGGUGAUAGUCCCGUAGAUAUAUUCUCUUUUUGAGGUUUUGUGUAUGAUUUUUUCUUGAGUAGGAUCCGUUGGAUAUCGGGUUUGAAUGUGGGAGGCAUCAACUUCCAAUUCUAAAUACGUCUCAAGACCGAUAGAGUAUUAGUACCGUGAGGGAAUGCUGAAAAGUACCCCUAUAGGGGGGUGAAAAGUACCUGAAACCAGAUAGUGACAGCCAGAUGUGGCGCGUAAGGAAUGAAUUCUUCCGAAAGAAUCAGUGGUAACAUUGUAGUAUGAGGAGGUUGGACUAGUGUUGCAUCGUCCGUCUUGAAACACGGGCCAGGGAGUUCUUUGUUGUGGUGAGGCUAAAAGGUUUUUAUCCUUGUAGUCGUAGGGAAACCGAUAUGCCCGCAGCGUUGUUGAGGGGCAAGGUCUUAAUAGGGCCUGGAAUCACAGCAUUGAAACCCGAAGCCGGUCGAUCUAUUCCUGAGCAGGAUGAAGUCGCUCUUACGAGCGAUGGAGGUUCGCAGGGUUGUUGUUCUGCAAAACACUCUUUUGACUUGGGAAUAGUGGUGAAAGGCCAAUCAAGGCCGGCGACAGCUGGUUCCACUCGAAAUGACUCUAAGGUCAGCCUGACUGGAGGUUGGUGGCGGGGUAGAGCACUAAUUGGACGUUUAGGGAGGGAAACUUCUCGGCGUACUGUAAAACUCCGAACUCGUCACCGUCGUAGAAGGUUGGAGUGAGGGGCGCGGGGUAAGCUUGUGUCCCGAAAGAGAAACAACUCAGACUAUGGUUAAGGCCCCUAAAUACUGGAUAAGUGUAAGGGAGUCUUUGGCCCAAGACAAUGGGAAGGUGGGCUUAGAAGCAGCCACCCUUUAACGAGUUCGUAACAGAUCACCCAUCGAGGUCAGAGGCACCUAAAAUGGACGGGAAUUAAUCCAGUUGCCGAUACCAUGGAACACCUUUUUUUGGUGAUUGUGUAGAGUGGCGACCUGUGUGGGUUGAAGAGGGGGCGUGAGUUCCUUUGGACCUUGCAGGUAUGUGGAUCCUGGUAGUAGUAGCAGCAAAGUGAGGUGAGAAUCCUUACCGCCGGAGGGGCUAGGGUUCCUUGGCAAUGUUCGUCAGCCAAGGGUUAGUCGAUCCUAAGGUCAGUCAUAAGUUGAGCUGGUCGAAAGGGAAGCAGGUUAAUAUUCCUGUACAUAGUAAAUUUGCGGUGACGUUGAGGGCUAAUUUCUGACACUUCGAGAUAUGUUUUGUAGGAUUGUCGUCCUAUUUACGUGUUUAAGCCUGGGGAGAGGUGUAAUAGCGAGAACCAGGUGUAGGCAUUAUGAGCUGGUCGUUUUUGUACUGGUUUAACUGAUUCAUGGAGUCCUUGAAAAGGGAGUUAGUUUUGUAUUUUACUAUUUCGUACCGAGAUCCGUCACAGGUGCCCCUAGCUGAGUAGGCUAAGGCGUUUUAAGGUAAACUAGCUAAGGGAAAUCGGCAAAAUGGCCCCGUAACUUUGGAAGAAGGGGUGCCAGCUAUGUGAAUAGCUGGUCUCAGUGACUAGGGGGGCCCGACUGUUUAAUAAAAACAUAGCUCUCUGCUAGCCCGUAAGGGUGUGUACAGAGGGCGACACCUGCCCAGUGCUGGCACGUGAAGCUGGAGUUCAGUUCAGUGAAGCGCCAGUAAACGGCGGGGGUAACUAUAACCCUCUUAAGGUAGCGAAAUGCCUUGUCGGACAAGUACCGACCUGCAUGAAUGGUAGAACGAGGUCCCCACUGUCCCUAGCUAGAACUUAGUGAACCUGCUAUUCUGGUGCACAAGCCAGAGUCUUCCAUUGGGAAGCGAAGACCCCGUAGAGUUUUACUGCAGUCUGUCGUUGAAGCUUGGUUAUAGGUAUGCAGUGUAAGUGGGAGAAUUCGAUUAUAAGUCGCCAGGUUUAUAUGAUUCGUUCUUGAGACACCACCGUCUCCUCGAUGCUGCAGCUAAUUACUUUUUUGU